UUCAGUACUUCUAACACUGUUUCAGAGGUAGUUUUUGGCUUCAUUUCCUUUUUAUAAUAUUUGUUAGGUUUGUAUUUCAAAUCUGAACCAGCUUGUUUGAUACAAAAACUGGAUUUCUUAUAGUGAAUUGGUUUUGAACUGAUUUUGAUUUGAACCAGUCUCAAAUUUGGUUUUGCCACCGUAAACAUCAAAAUGAGACAUUAAUAUCAGAUCUGGAAUUCUCUUAUCAUCCUCUUCCUACGUAUCCGAAUGAAAUCAGGAAUCGAUUGCGAUGCUUUAAAUGCGACGGCGUCUGGUCACGGUAGCAAAUGGGUCUCGGAGAAGAACCUUAGUGGUGAAAGUUUACCGGUGAAGUUGUGAAGGUCAUAUUUUUCUAUUGUUUCUUUCUUUCUCUCCUCUUUUAUGUUGUUUCUGAUUAUUUCGUUCCUUUUUCAAAUUGCAAUAACUGGAACCCAAAUUAAAAGCUUCACUUUCAGGUAUCAACAUAAGAAUAUCAUAUUUUUUGUAUUUUCUGUCUACAAAAAUUAUUCUGAUACUUGGAUCUGUCAUGAAUGUUGAAAUUUAUAUUUGUGCAUCCUUAGUUUUCAUCUAUCUAGACGAACCGUUGAAAUUUGUUAGAAUAUGAUGAAUGAUUUGUCUCUGUUUGAUAUGAUGUAUUAUUCUUAUACUUGGAUCUGUCAUGAAUCUUUGAUAUCUAAAGUUAGAAAGAGAUAUAUUGAGUUACUUGUUAAGAUAAUCUAGAGUAGAUGUAUAAUUUGUCAAAUGUUGAUAUGAUUUUAAAUAACUGAAAAGUUAUAUGGGUGAAAAGAGAAAAGUGGAGAUAAAAUGUUAAGAGAUGCCAUACUAAUACUUUCAGCUCUUCCUGGUUCAAGAAUAGAUUCAAGUGAUUUUUAGAAGAUGCUAACAGAACUAUGAGAUAUGCAAAGGCUACUUCAACAAAGCUUUGAUUCAGACGAGGAAGAGAAACAAGUUUAAAUGAGACACUUGCAUUUUAUCAUAGGUAAAUGUAUUUUAGUGACAUUAUUUAUUGAUGUAUGUUUUAGUGAAGAAUGUUGCUUUGAAUUGGAUUUUCUUGUUGAUCCCUUUGUUGCUGUUAUAUGGUGGUUUCUGGUCUUGGUUUUGAGCAUGCUAGUAGUGUUGUUUCCAGUUGGCAAAUAUAAGUUAUGCAGGCUAGUUUUGAGCAUGCUAGUAGUGUUCUUGAGUAUCUUUAAAUACUUCAAUUAAUACAUAAUAUAUAUUAUGGCUUUGUUUAAAUAUCAUGUCUUUAAUUAAGUUUGAUGUAUGUAUUUGGGAAGAAUGAUGCUUUGAGUUGGGUUAUCUUAUUGAUCCCUUUGUUGCUGUUGUAGGGUGGUAUUUGGUUUUUGUUUUGAGCAUACUGGUGGUAGAAGUAUUAUACUUGUGACAUUGCGUUGUUUCCAGUUAGCAAAUGUAAGUU
rnacentral:lncRNA from 1 species